CUGCAGAGGCUGCAAGCCAGCAGAGUGAGCAAGGCUGAACUCAACAGGCAACAAUGAGCAGGCACGUAAGGACACAGAAAGGAAAUGGGUGAGCUUAAAGCAGGUUAGAAUGACUGGAGCAGCAGUCACUCCAAAUGACCCCUAAGGAAAGAGCCCGAAAGAAAAAAAGGCCUGGUAGGAUUAACAAUGCCUUUUUAUAAAGGAGUCAUUUCAGGACAUCUGACUUAAGGGAAGUGCCACAUUUAUGUAUUUUUAAUUGGACUGGAUUUAAGCCAUAUCAAGCUGAUGAUGCCGUUCUGAGUUCAAAAGGACAUUCUCUUUGCCUCAUAGCAUGGGAGCAAGGGGACAAUGCAAUUAGCGGGAAAGGCGGCACUUUCAAAAGCAGUAGAAGGAAUUAUUUUUAAAUUAAGCAGCUAUUGUAUAUUCCAUGUAUUUAAAGUAGCAGUGUCUUCUAGUCACUGGAAGGUGACUACCACUGUUUGGGUAGUGGCCAACAUCACGACUGGAGGAACAGUGGAUCAGGUGGUGGAGCUCGUUCAUUCUGGAGUCCUCAAACCUCUGCUCAACCUGCUCUCAGCCAAGGACAGCAAAACUAUCCUGAUCAUCCUGGACACCAUUUCAAAUCUUUUCCUGUCAGGAGGAAGAUACUGAACUAGAAACCAGGGACUGAGCUGUUUGGCAAUCAAGGAUCAUCUCCUCAAAGCUCAAGAGUGGUUCAUCCUGACAAGAAGAAAAUCAAGCAAAAAUCAAGUGGACAUGGAUGAGCACAGAUGUCUUGACUAAACUCUGGCAUAAAAAGGAAAUGCACAAAAGGUGGAAACGGGAGUUCCCCAAGGAUGAGAUCACUUUCUGCAGCACAAGGCCAGCAACCGGGAUGCAGCUUACACUGAUGCCUCACAACUGGCUAUUUACAGCAUUGCCACUCUGGCUCUGAGAGCAGACCUUGGGGCAACAGCAGCAGCUGCAGUAGUACAUAACGAGAGGUAGAGGCCAAGGAGAAGACAGCCACAAAAAACUGGGAAAGGCAGCUCAAUCGCAAUCAAGACCAAUUUUGUUAUUUCCUAAACAGCGGCAAGCUGACAGGGUAACAGAGGCAGACUGAGCAAUGGCAGGUGGUUGUGGCACAAGAGCCUCAAGGCUUCCUGCCUUCCCGGCUCUUGCCAAGCUCCAGCAAGCAGGCACAGAGAGACGUCUCAUACCAGCUGUGACGUGUCCCUUCCUAAACAGCCAGCAGCAAGGAAAGGGCCCAAAACUGAAAACAGGAUUUGGGGUGUGGCUUCAUCAGUGCCGAACACAGGGAGAUGAUCACUGCCCUAGUCCUGCUGGCCCGCACUAUUUGUGCUAGUGGACACUCUUGGCAUCCACACACCGUGCAGUUUUCAGGUGGUUGCUGCUGGACACCACACAGAAAAGCAACUGCCUCAAAUUCCAGUGAUGAGUUUCCAAAUAAACCAUAGGUGCAAAGU